GUCGUCAGCUCGUGUCGUGAGAUGUUGGGUUAAGUCCCGUAACGAGCGCAACCCUUGUCCUUAGUUACCAGCACGUUAAGGUGGGCACUCUAAGGAGACUGCCGGUGACAAACCGGAGGAAGGUGGGGAUGACGUCAAGUCAUCAUGGCCCUUACGGCCUGGGCUACACACGUGCUACAAUGGUCGGUACAAAGGGUUGCCAAGCCGCGAAGUGGAGCUAAUCCCAUAAAACCGAUCGUAGUCCGGAUCGCAGUCUGCAACUCGACUGCGUGAAGUCGGAAUCGCUAGUAAUCGUGAAUCAGAAUGUCACGGUGAAUACGUUCCCGGGCCUU
rnacentral:rRNA from 1 species